rnacentral:rRNA from 1 species
CAGCCGCCGCGGUAAUACGAAGGGUGCAAGCGUUAAUCGGAAUUACUGGGCGUAAAGCGUGCGUAGGCGGUUUGUUAAGUCUGUUGUGAAAUCCCCGGGCUCAACCUGGGAAUGGCAAUGGAUACUGGCAAGCUAGAGUGUGUCAGAGGAUAGUGGAAUUUCCGGUGUAGCAGUGAAAUGCGUAGAGAUCGGAAGGAACAUCUGUGGCGAAGGCGACUAUCUGGGCCAACACUGACACUGAGGCACGAAAGCGUGGGGAGCAAACAGGAUUAGAUACCCGCGUAGUCCCUGUCUCUUAUAC